CAAGGAAUUUUCCGCAAUGGGCGAAAGCCUGACGGAGCAACGCCGCGUGCAGGAUGACGCAUUUCGGUGUGUAAACUGCUGUUCGGGGGGACGAAGCACUGACGGUACCCCCGGAGGAAGGCCCGGCUAACUACGUGCCAGCAGCCGCGGUAAUACGUAGGGGCCAAGCGUGGUCCGGAGUUACUGGGCGUAAAGCGUGCGCAGGCGGCUCGUUGCGCCCGACGUGAAAGCCCCCGGCUCAACCGGGGAGGGUCGUCGGGGACGGGCGAGCUUGAGGGUGUCAGGGGCUGGUGGAACUCCCGGUGUAGUGGUGAAAUGCGUAGAGAUCGGGAAGAACACCCGUGGCGAAGGCGGCCAGCUGGGACACACCUGACGCUGAGGCACGAAGGCGUGGGGAGCGAACGGG
rnacentral:rRNA from 1 species